rnacentral:rRNA from 1 species
UGGGGAAUAUUGGACAAUGGGCGCAAGCCUGAUCCAGCCAUGCCGCGUGUGUGAAGAAGGCCUUCGGGUUGUAAAGCACUUUUGUCCGGAAAGAAAUCCAAUCGAUUAAUACUCGGUUGGGAUGACGGUACCGGAAGAAUAAGCACCGGCUAACUUCGUGCCAGCAGCCGCGGUAAUACGAAGGGUGCAAGCGUUACUCGGAAUUACUGGGCGUAAAGCGUGCGUAGGUGGUUCGUUAAGUCUGAUGUGAAAGCCCUGGGCUCAACCUGGGAAUGGCAUUGGAUACUGGCGACCUAGAGUGCGGUAGAGGGGUGUGGAAUUCCCGGUGUAGCAGUGAAAUGCGUAGAUAUCGGGAGGAACAUCUGUGGCGAAGGCGACACCCUGGACCAGCACUGACACUGAGGCACGAAAGCGUGGGGAGCAAACAGG